AUGAGGCCGUGGAACAUUUGUAUAGCUAACAAGCUCUGCCAAGACGAAGUGAAGACUACUUUUGUCAAGGGAAUUUUCACUGUGUAUGUACUUUUAUUUGGCUCUGGUACGAGACUUUCUGUAACAGACAAUACCCUACAAAAACCCAAAGUGACGGUCUACUCAGAGUCCAACCCUGAGUCGAAGGUGAACACCCUGCUAUGUCUGGCUGGAGACAUGUUUCCAGACUUGGUCAAGAUCUCAUGGAAGCUGGAGGAUAAAAACGGCAGAGCAGUUGAGGUGCCUAAAGCAGAGGGGGAACAGCUGGAGCAGAGGGAGGAAGGACGGACGACCAGUAUGAUCAUCAUUGACAAAGAGAAGAUGGACAGGAACAAAUACAUCUGUUCUGUGGAGCAUGAAGGGGGCCCUCAAGAUGUUUACAUGCUAAAAGAUAAACCAACUGAAGCGCCGCGAACCACCGUGGCUGCACCAACCUGUCCGUUCAGAAAUGACACGCAGCAGUCACAGACUCUACAUCUUGCCGACGAAUCCUUCCAGUCAACAUUUAGUCUAAACCUGGCCUCUCUGGUUUACACAGUGAUGAUAGUGAAGAGCAUGGUGUACUGCUGUGGGCUCUCUAUCCUGCUGCACCACAGGAGCUUGGGAAGAGGACCCAGCACCUGUAGACACAUUCAUUGAAAAGAGACCACCCCCCAUGUAUGGAUAGAAUUAUACUGGGCGGUAAACAACAUGGACUUUACAUCCCAUUGAGGUCUAACAUUCCAUUUGUAUUGCUUUUAUUUUUCCUGCUUUAUUUUUUUAGAUGCUACAAUAUUGUGAGCCAUAGUUUUCCAUGUCUUCUAAUAGCUUCAACUGCCAAAUAUGACAAUUGCAGCACAUUUAAUGUUGUAUAUGGAGUAAUGUUACCCUCCUUAUGUGGGAGCUACCCACUGCAGACACAUGCAUAAAGGUUUUCUGGAAAAUAAGCAGAGCAAAUCUUGAAUGUAAAUCAAUUAUGAUUUGAAUUUAGAUUUGGUAAAGUUGCCCUGCAAUAUGUCAGAGGUAGGCCUAAAUUAUACUCACAACUUGUAUUUAAUUUAUACAAAAUAUUUACCUUAAUAUGUAGGCCCAUGAGUUCGAAACCAUUGUCCAAUAUAAUAUGUUGUAACUUGUCUUGAGAAAUUUGUUUUUCUAACAUAGUAUUUCACAUCUUAAUUAAUGAGUAGGAUCAUCAAUUGUUGCUUUAAAUAUCUAAAUGCUGAGUGCUUAUUGAGCAUAAAAAUUGGGCUAUGCGCAAAAUCAUUUAUUGGUGCUUUUUUACAUUUAAUACAAUGUUUUUUUUACGCAGCUUUUAUGAAGAGUAACACAGCCUGCUCAAAUUAACCAAGUUGCUCAAAAUAAUAAUAUCCUUUCAGAUGAGGAUGGAUUUAAUAAACGCUGCCUUUGCGAAUGAAAAGUCACAACAAUGGUUCUGCAAAUUAUUGUAAAUAACUUUUUUACAGUUGCUAUCUGCUUUGUAUGAAUAAAGGCUACCUAAUCCCCCCCCCCAAAAAAAAAUAUAUUUAACAUAGCAUUUCGUUACUAUAAGAUCAUCUAUUCAUAUUUGUGAAUGUUAUUUGAUUGAAUCUCAUCAGAAGUGAAACAAUAAAAUUGUAAGAUCUCCUAUUCUCUGUUUUCAACUUGUUUGCUUCAAUGUGCAUGUACCAACACAGAUGUUGAGCCUAGACUCAAUAGUGGUGGGAAAAUG